rnacentral:rRNA from 1 species
GGAGGCAGCAGUAUGGAAUAUUGGACAAUGGGCGAAAGCCUGAUCCAGCAAUGCCGCGUGUGUGAAGAAGGCCUGCGGGUUGUAAAGCACUUUCGAUUGGGAAGAAAAGCUUAGAGUUAAUACCUCUGAGUCUUGACAUCAGCAAUAGAAGAAGCACCGGCUAACUCUGUGCCAGCAGCCGCGGUAAUACAGAGGGUGCGAGCGUUAAUCGGAAUUACUGGGCGUAAAGCGUGCGUAGGUGGUUGAGUAAGUCGGAUGUGAAAGCCCAAGGCUUAACCUUGGAAUUGCAUUCGAUACUGCUGAGCUAGAGUACAGUAGAGGGAAGCGGAAUUCUUAGUGUAGCGGUGAAAUGCGUAGAUAUUAAGAAGAACACCAGUGGCGAAGGCGGCUUCCUGGACUGAUACUGACACUGAGGUACGAAAGCGUGGGGAGCAAACAGGAUUAGAUACCCUGGUAGUCCACGCCCUAAACGAUGAGAACUAGAUGUUGGGGGAAAUUGAUCCUUUAGUAUCGUAGCUAACGCGCUAAGUUCUCCGCCUGGGGAGUACGGCCGCAAGGUUAAAACUCAAAUGAAUUGACGGGGGCCCGCACAAGCGGUGGAGCAUGUGGUUUAAUUCGAUGCAACGCGAAGAACCUUACCUGGCCUUAACAUCCUUGGAACCUCGCAGAAAAGUGAGGGUGCCUUCGGGAACCGAGAGAUAGGUGCUGCAUGGCUGUCGUCAGCUCGUGUCGUGAGAUGUUGGGUUAAGUCCCGCAACGAGCGCAACCCUUGUCCCUAGUUGCCAGCGAUUCGGUCGGGAACUCUAGAGAGACUGCCGGUGACAAACCGGAGGAAGGUGGGGAUGACGUCAAGUCAUCAUGGCCCUUACGGCCAGGGCUACACACGUGCUACAAUGGGUAGUACAGAGGGUUGCAAACCCGCGAGGGGGAGCUAAUCUCACAAAACUACUCGUAGUCCGGAUUGGAGUCUGCAACUCGACUCCAUGAAGUCGGAAUCGCUAGUAAUCGCGGAUCAGCAUGUCGCGGUGAAUACGUUCCCGGGCCUUGUACAAAAUAAAUGCGCCUGGCAGUUUAUUAGACUAGGUGGUGAAAAUCCAUCUAUCCGCUUUCGGACGGCGGAUAUAGGGAAGGAUAGGACACGCUCCGUAAGGAAGUGUCUGAAGGAUCUGGAACAAAUGGUAGUCUCGGCAGAAAAGGGCGUUGUGACUUAUGUGUGUACCAUAAGGAAGCAACAUACCGUAAAGCCCGCUGGGAAUGUCAGAAAUAGCCUAAUAAAUGACCCAGGGAUAUCCUGUUAGUUAAGAGAACUAGUAAGCGACUAACAGGAAGUCAGCAGAUUCGUAGUAGCCGAUACGUCGGCAAAGGAUGAAACCUAUGAGAGAAAUCUCACCUGAGAAUAUUUCAGGCUUUGUCGUAGGUGAAGGAUGCUUUUAUGUGGAAAGUGGUAAAGAUCCUAAGUACAAAUUAGGAUAUAGAGUAAGAGCUGCUUUUUGCAUUGAACUAAGAGAAGAUGAUCAAGUGAUACUUGAGGCCAUUCAAAAAACCUUAGGAUGUGGCAAUAUUUACCAGCUUGAUUUUGGUAGAUAUAAAGGUUACUCAAAAAAGGGUUGGAUACCUCAUGUAAAGUAUAGAGUGAGCAAUCAAAAUGAUCUCAUUCACAAGGUCAUACCUUUCUUUGAAAGGUAUCCACUUUUUGGUAAAAAGCAAAAAUCAUUUGAUGUUUUUAUCAAGAUUGUAGAUAAAAUAAGACUCAAAGAGCAUCUAACGCCUGAUGGUUUAGAAAAAACUAAGUUAUUGGUUUCUGAACUCAAAGCUCUGAAUAAGAAAGGCAUGUAGGACUCGCUGGAUGCGCUAGACACGCUUGUCCAGUGGGAACGCGACAAUAGUUCUAAUGAUCGCAAUCACCGCCCGUCACACCAUGGGAGUGGGCUGUACCAGAAGUAGGUAGUCUAACCUUUCGGGGAGGACGCUUACCACGGUAUGGUUCAUGACUGGGGUGAAGUCGUAACAAGGUAGCCGUAGGGGAACCUGCGGCUGGAUCACCUCCUUUAAAGA